rnacentral:rRNA from 1 species
AGUGAACGCUGGCGGUGGCCUAACACAUGCAAGUCGAACGGCAGCACCGUAAGAGCUUGCUCUUACGGGUGGCGAGUGGCGGACGGGUGAGGAAUACAUCGGAAUCUACUUUUUCGUGGGGGAUAACGUAGGGAAACUUACGCUAAUACCGCAUACGACCUACGGGUGAAAGCAGGGGAUCUUCGGACCUUGCGCGAUUGAAUGAGCCGAUGUCGGAUUAGCUAGUUGGCGGGGUAAAGGCCCACCAAGGCGACGAUCCGUAGCUGGUCUGAGAGGAUGAUCAGCCACACUGGAACUGAGACACGGUCCAGACUCCUACGGGAGGCAGCAGUGGGGAAUAUUGGACAAUGGGCGCAAGCCUGAUCCAGCCAUACCGCGUGGGUGAAGAAGGCCUUCGGGUUGUAAAGCCCUUUUGUUGGGAAAGAAAAGCAGCAGGUUAAUACCCCGCUGUUCUGACGGUACCCAAAGAAUAAGCACCGGCUAACUUCGUG